CAUUACAUGUUUAAAUGAUUUUUGGUGCUUUGAAUUUUGUUUAUUUAAAAAUCAUUUUGAGGAAGAGGUGUUUUUAAAAAAUUUUUCUUUGAGAAAAGAGAUAAUUGAGAUUCAUGAUUUGGAGAGAGAAAAGGUGUUUGAACAGUGUUUAUCUUCACAAUCAUAUUAAGUUAAAUUCAUAUUAAUUAUCGUCUUUACUCCACUAUUUAUUAUUUUGACGAUAAUUUAUUAUAUGAUUUCUUAUAUCAUAAAUUCAUCAAAAUUUUGAAAUCAAAUUUAAUUUUUUGGUGAUUAAUUCAUCUUGGUUGUGAGUGUUGGAUAUGAUGGAUGGAUAUUCUCUAAUAGACUAAAAUUUGUCAAAUUAUUUUCAACUGUGAGAUUGUCUAAUUUAGGGGGAGUUUGAAAUUGUUUAAAAAUAAAAAAAAAGGAGAAAAAGAAACUCCUAUAUUCAAAAGAUGUGGAAAGAGUUACAUCCUAAAAGGAGUGUGAAAACUACCACCACAUGUAGGAAAGAGCUACCACCCCGGUCGUCCGGUAAGUGUGUGAAGCUACCACAUGAAGAUUGAAUUGAGUAACCGAAAAAGGUUGGAAAAAAAAUAAAUAUUUUAGAAUUUUCGGAGUUAUAAGGUGGUAAGAUAAAAAGAUGCUCAAAGAGCUACCCCCAGUAUCAUAUUAGUUAAAUCUCUAUUUUGAACGUGUUACGACAAAUUGGUGUCAAUUUUUGUUGAAUUUCUAAAAAUCAUUUUUCAUCAACUUACAUCUUGAUGGUUUUGAAUCAUUAAAUUAUUUUUGAUAAUGAAAUUUUGAUGUUUUGAUGUAUUUUGAAAUUUUAUAAUAUCUUAUUGUCAUUAUAAUGAUUCUUGGAGUAAAAGCCUUAAAUUAUUUGAAAUUAAUUUAAUUUGAUGGAUUUUUAAAGCAAAUUUUUCGAAAUCUGAGAUUCUUUGUCGAGCUUAGUCUCUUUCUUUCACUGCAUUUGAUGUUUAGGACGAUGUUUUUGAUUUGCUUGUUUAUCUUUCUGUAGUAUGUUUUUACUUUUAUUUUAGGCCUGUAACUAUGACUAGACUACUCUUAUGCUUUCUAGUAUGUUUUCUCUCUUUAUUUGCUUUCUUUUGGCAAUUUUUGACAAAAAGGGGGAGAGCGUAGAUGAAGGGGGAGAGCAUGGAUGAACAGGCAUUUCAUUGAACUGAAGCAGAGGAUGAUGAGUUCAAGGACAAAUGGGGAGAUGUGAACAAAGGGGGAGAAGGUAUAAGAAUUUAGUGCUAAUCAUUUUUUAAUGAAUUGUUUUGCAGGAAAUCAAGACUUCAAGACUCCUAGUUGCGUCUAAGUCAUAGAGUCUGUUUUAGGAGUUUUGAUGUAAUUUUGAGUUUCAAAUUGUAUUUGGAUUACACGCGAGGGGUUCGAUGUUUUGGUGAUGACAUUGAACUUCGUUUUUUUUAAAUUGUAAUUUGUGAGUUUAUGUGUGUUUUGUCACGAAAUUGCAAAAGGGGGAGAUUGUUAGGUCCUAUGUGUUGGCAAGUUUCGUGGGUCGAGUCGGAGUCUUGAAGAAGUCGGAAGCGGAGUAUUGAAGAUCAAAGAAUUCAAGACUUCAAAGAAUCGGAAAGGACGCAAAACACGCAAAACAUGAAUCACGAUGCGUAGGUAAGCUUUAAAUCUUGUUUAUGGUGAUUCAUACUUNCACCCAUCCUAGGACUACUCCCGUCCUAGCAUGCUUAACUCUCUUAACCUCUUCGGCCUUGCCACCAACCAAAAUGCUUAAGCCGGGUUAAGAGUUUAGCCCUAUUAUAUCUUAUAUAUAGGACUAUCUGGGGUCUCACAAUCUCCCCUCCUUUAAGCCCUGACGUCUUCGUCAGGCUCAGACUCACAAAUACCAGGCGAUGUGAGACUCAUCUCGCUAGCCUGUUAUCCAGACCCUAGCUUAGCCGAGACUCAUCUCACACUUCCGGCUGGUAAUUGGCUCUGAUACCAACUAUGACGCCCCGACUUCCCAGGGGGUCACCCAUCCUAGGACUACUCCCGUCCUAGCACGCUUAACUCUCUUAACCUCUUGGGUCUAGCCACCACCCAAAAUGCUUAAGCCGGGUUAAGAGUUUAGCCCUAUUAUAUCUUAUAUAUAGGACUGCCUAUUAUAUCUUAUAUAUAGGACUAUCUGGGGCCUCACAAUACCUCUAGGGUACUAGGAGGCUAGAGGACACUUUCGUUGGAGCAAACGAAGGGUUUCGUUUACCGUUGGUGGGUUUGACUUCAUGAAAAUGGGACAAAAUGGCCCCUAUGCUUUCUAAACUCUUCGUAAUGUUAGGUCCUAUGUGUUGGCAAGUUUCGUGGGUCGAGUCGGAGUCUUGAAGAAGUUCGGAGCGGAAUAUUGAAGAUCGAAGAAUCCAAGACUUCGAAGAAUCGGAAAGGAUGCAAAACACGUAAAACAUGAAUCACGAUGCGUAGGUAAGCUUUAAAUCUUGUUUAUGGUGAUUCAUACUUAAUUAUAGAUUUUAGAAUCAUGUUUUCAAGUUGUAAUUGAUUAGAAAGUUUCUAAGAGUUUAUAAAAUCCAAAACAAUGCAUUUUCAGCGAAAAUUGCAUUGCUGUACCGGUACAAGGUUUUUCUGUCCAGGGUACAGCCAUCAACGUUGCGCAGAAAGUUUGAUGGUUGUUCCGGUACAAGGAUUUUCUGUCCAGGGUACAGCCAUCAACGUUGCGCAGAAAGUUUGAUGGUUGUUCCGGUACAAGCUUCAUGCUGUACCGGUACAAGCCCUGUUCCGGAACAAGCAACAGCCUAUCCAGGGUACAGGAGCUUCGCAGAAAAAUCUUCCGUCAUGGUGUACCCUGGACAACAUUUCUUGUUCCGGUACAAGGUGCUGAUUUUGGAAAGAAACUUUCUAAUUCGACUCCAAUUGAUUCUAAAGUCUAUAAAUAAGCUAUAGGGGUUCUCUAACACAUCAAGCAUCACGAAAAUACAUAUUUGAGAAACCCUAGAGGCUCGGAUUUAAUCUUAAACCUAUUUUCUACAAAAAGCCUCUUUUAGAUCAAAUCGAGAUAUUGAAAUUUGAUAUUAAUAUGUCGAUUUGAUCUCCGCUUCGCUUGGAGUUCUAUUCCCUGGUUUUCUACAACACUCCAAAGCGAAGGAUCACCAUAUUCAUGAUAUUCUUCAUGGUGGCGUCGUGGAUUCGGCGUAUUUGACGGCGGUUCGUGGAUUCGGAUCGUGGGCUCGUGGAUUCGAGUGGCGUCGUGGAUUCGGCGUGAUUGAAGCUUCGUGGAUUCGAAGUGAAGGCGUUCGUGGAUUCGGACGUGAGGGCGUGGACAACCCGGAGGGUAGCGCGAAGAUUCAUAGGAGGUUAAGAGAGGUUAAGUCCGUGGAGUCGGUAAUCACCUUGUAAUCUUUUCUCUUAGUGAAUUGUUUUUUCGCGUGUUGGUCCCGUGGGUUUUUCUCCAAGUUGGAGUUUUCCCACGUAAAUCUCGGUGUGCUUUUUAUUUUCCGCAUUUAUUUUUAUUGCAUCGAGAUUUGUGGUUUUUGGUCGUUCACCUAUUCACCCCCCUCUAGGUGAUAGAUACAAUCUAGAUAGAUCCUUGGGCUCCUCAAAACUUUCACACGCCCCGCCCAGAAACCACUACCAAUUUGGCACGAUUCGGGCCCGGCGACAGACCGCCGAACGGACAGCACCUCCCCUGUCCGCCCAAGGCUCACAACAAGAAUGUGUACAAGAAUUUACCCAGGAAUUUAAAUUCUAAGCAUACAUAUUCAACAGGGCAUAAAUAGUGCCAGCAACUACAAGGAGCAAGUAAUCCACAAGAUAAAGUAUGUGAAAUAAAGAGAAUACUUUACUAGAUAUUACAAUAAUUUCAUUACAUCAUUUUCUUUAAUGAUUAUAUUUUUCACCCAAAAUACAUAGCUCUCCAAAUCCUCACCUACAAGAAAUCUCUCUCAAUACAUAGGUGUACUAAUGCACAAAAGGGAAGCUACUAUACUACCACGGUCUCACUGAUCGGGCGCGAUGCCCUUGCCGCGGUCCUCCCUCGGCAACCCUGUACCUACCACUGGAAAUAGUGUGAGGUGAGAACUAUCUUCCAUAGUUCCCAGUGGGCUCGGCCGCCGACUCUGCCGAUCUCCCCACUAGGUCUAAGUGGGCACAAGCAACAACAGAUAGAUAGGUAGAUAGAUAUCUGAAAGCUGUAAAUACGAUAGUAGGAAAACUAUCGUAUAUGCCCAUAAUCAUGAAUAUGAAUGCAUGCAUCAUGUAAUAAAGGUUGGCUAUCAUGCUAGCAAAUUCGAUCCAUGUUCGAAUAGCAAUAUUCAAUGACAUUUUUAAACCUUUAACCUUUCAUUUACCCAAUCUGUGGCGAUGCCCUAGGACUCGCCUAUGACUCACCUUUCAAUCCCAAAGUGGGGAGGGAGCUCCAAGUGCACCCAAGCCCGGGACCGUCUGCGGACCUCCAUGUGGUCCGGACCUCCAAGUGGUCCUAGUCUCGCGACACUCCGGAGUACUCGACGACAAUCCCCUCCAUGUGGGGAUAGGAUGGCUAUACCACCCCAAACGCAGACUGUGAGCUAGAUCUAUCCUCUCCAAGUGAGGAUGCCCUACAUCUAGGGUCAACAACCCAAUCUAAUCCUCUCCAAGUGAGGAUGCUCUACAACUAGAGUCAAGAUUUCUCGCGGGAUCACAUGUUCCCAACACUCAUGCAAUGCUAUUUAGCUUUUCUAAAUUCAUUGUUCACAAGGCAUUUUCUAAGGGAUCCGCCUACCCCUAGGUCCAUCGACCUCUAGUGUCAUUUACACUACAUUAAUGCCACUUAUUAUCUUUUAACAUUUGGAUGCCACUCGUUUGUUCUUUGACAAUAACACUACUUUCUAUGUCAUCAACACCCCCAUCAGGUUCAUCUCUAUCUUUAGCAUCAUAGGAUCCACGUUCCGACCCAAUUCUCACCUAUCUAAGUUACUAAGCGUUCCAAGUACACUAGGUUAUCAAUUAGAAGCAUAAGGAAUAGAGCUACUAUGCAAUCCUACAAUGCAACAUGUAAGAGAUGACAUUAAAUGCAAUCUAAGACAUAGAAAGGAGUUCGAAAGCUUCGGGAUGGCACCCCCCACCUUUAAUCGAUGUAGAGGCUUUAGAAACAGUCCUCGGCGAACGCUACGAAAAGGCUUUAGCUUCUUUGCCCAACCCAAUGCAAAAUCGGCCUUGUUUUGCAGAUAGCUUCACGCCGGCUCGCCGAAUGCUAAAACCGACUUCGCCCCCACAUUUUGUGACCUACCAAUAGGGUUUCCAAGGCUUCAAAUGAGAUCAAUCUCAUGUUUUCACAAAAAUCCCAUUUUGGAGCCCUAGGUUCGCACCCAUAGCAAACCACCCAAUGAAUCCCUAGAUUCUUGGGAUUGAUCUACUUAGAAGCAUGCUUAGGGUUCAUUUGACCCAUUCCAAAGCAUCAAAACCCAAAAAUCCUAAGUUUCACAAGCUAGGGUUCAAGAGCUUACCUCUUGAGCUACACCAAAGAGAAGAGGAGAGGGAGAUGAAGGUGUCCAAGGCCUUCUUCUUGAUCUCCUUCUGCUUCUCCUUCCUUUCCUUCUCCUUUUUUUCCUUCCUCUCCUUCUUGUUCUUCUUCUUCUCCUUUCUUUCCUAGAGAGAGAGAGAGAGAGCAAGAGAGAAAGAGAGAUAGAGAGGAAAUGAGAUGAGAGGGGCUGAGGGAGAGGGUUAUUUCCCAUAUUCACCCUUCACAUGGUGGCCAUUUUGCACUUAAACCUCUCAACUUUUUAUCUCUCAAACAGUUGUCGCUGGGCUGUUUUCGCGCGGAGGGACCGGUCUCCCCGUCAUGGGACCGGUCCCCGAGAGCAGCCCAUGCUACCAGGGGCCUUUCUCGCGUUCGGGAACCGGUCUCUCCCUGGGAGAUCGGUCCUCGGGAGACCGGUCCUCACCUGAGAGACCGGUCCCCGAGAGCCCAAUUUUCAGGACUUAGCCAAAUUUCGGCAUUUCUCGCUGGGAUCACGUUCGGGAACCGGUCCCUCUCCACCAGGGACCGGUUGCACCAAGCAACCCCGCUACACCCAGCCGAGGGAACCGGUCUCUCACCUCCAGAGACCGGUCCCCGCGAGUAAUCUCAGCCCAAUGAUACAGUUUGCACCAUUUGCUCUUGUGGACUCAACUCCAAGGCACUUUUGUGCUUUGGACAUCUUUAACUUCUCCAAAGGGUAUUCUCUCGACAAAUAGUCGAUCCUGGAUAAAGUACAACUCUCGGAUUUCGAGAAUUCACUUCCUUACAAGCUAGCUCAAGUAUAUCUUGAUGAGGUGGUGAGACUUCACGGGGUUCCGAAGUCGAUCGUGUCGGAUUGAGAUCCCCGGUUUACUUCACACUUUUGGAAAAGCUUGCAAGAGGCACUUGGGACACGACUCGAUUUUAGUACCACGUUUCAUCCUCAAAGCGACGGUCAAUCGGAGAGGACAAUCCAAGUUUUAGAGGAUAUGUUGUGAGCGUGUGUCAUUAAUUAUCGAGGCAGAUGGAAUGAACACGACCUAUGGCCGAGUUCGCCUACAACAAUAGCUACCAAGCGAGUAUAGAGAUGGCACUGUUUGAAGCUCUCUACGGGCGGAAGUGCCGAUCUCCUAUACAUUGGAGUGAGGUGGGUGAACGGGUAGUUUUGGGCCCCGAUGUGUUGCGAGAGGCGGAGGAGAAAGUCCUCCUUGCUCGCCAAAGGUUGUUGACGGCUCAGACGAGGCAAAAGAGUUAUGCAAAUAAACGCCGUCGAGAUCUAGAAUUCGCGGUUGUAGACCGCGUCUUCUUGAAAGUUUCGCCCAUGAGGGGUGUGAAGAGGUUUGAAGUUCGGGGAAAGCUUAGUCCCCAGUAUAUCGGACCGUAUGAGGUAUUGGAACGGAUUGGUGCGGUGGCUUAUCGACUUGCAUUGCCGCCCAUGCUUCCGGGAGUUCACAAUGUAUUCCACGUGUCUAAUCUCCGCAAGUACGUUCAUGACCCCGAGCAUAUGCUCUUGUUCGAACCGCCCAAGCUUCAAGAGGAUAUGACCUAUGAGGAAUUCCCGGUGUUCAUCAUUGCUCGAGAGGUGAGAAAGUUACGGAACUGCGAGAUUCCGUAUGUUAAAGUCCAGUGGAGCAAUCACGAUGAUUGGGAGGCUACUUCGGAGCUCGAGGAGGCGAUGAGAAAGCGUCAUCCUCAUCUUUUCGAAUAUUUGGAUUGAGGUACGAGUUUCUAUUUAAAUGCGUGGUGUUUCGCGGAUGAAACUCCUUUUAAGAAGGGGAGGAUGUAAGGUAAUGGAUCCUCAGCACGUGCAAAAUCGAACUUGGGUCGGAAUUGACCGAAAUGCGGAGUUGAUAGCUUCGGAACGCUUUGGAAAAGUCUGAAUGCGUUGGAAUGGCUUUAAGGGUGUUAAGGGACCUUAGUGAGCAGCUGGGAGAAAAUUCUGCAAAUUUCGCAAUUGUGGUGCUCACGGGGUCCGGACCCUGAACUACGAUGCUCACGGGGUCAGAACCCUGUGCAGGGUCCAGACCCCAUAGGCGAAACCAGCCCAGUUUGGGCAGUGUGUGAAUAGAGUUGUUUGGGGUGUUAAGUGCAAUUGUGUGCAUAUGGGAGUGUAUAUGAGUGGGUUUUAGCUCAUUUCUCUCCCUCUCCCUCACAUUUGCAACCAAAGAACACUCUCUUUCUCUCUCUAAGAUCUCUCUCUCUCCCACGGUGGAACCAAGAGGAGAAGGUGGUGGAGAUUAUGGCUUGAAGGUGGAGCUUCUUCCUCUUCUUCUUCCUUGGCUCAAGAAGGAAGCUUGUUGAGGUAAGCUCUUUGAGCUCUAAUGGUAGAUUCUUAGGGUUUGGUUUAUAUACCCUAGAAUUGGAUCUAGAUGGAACCCUAGAUGUUGUUAGGAUGCUAUUUGCUUGAAUCAAGAGUUUGUUUAGUGUAUUCUUGCAAAUAGUGGAUUCUAGGGUUUGGUUUGGGGUUUUGCCAUAGUAGGGUUGGAUCUAAAUUGACCCUCUGGAAACUCAAUUGAAGGUAAAAUCGACAUGGUGGGCAACUCAAACGGGAGUUCCUACGGGCGUGCGGCGAGUUCUUGAGAGAAAGGACCAUUUUCGCUUCGUUUCCAUCGGAUAGAGCCAAAGCGACGUCUAAAAAUCAUGAAACUAGAAUUCUCACACCUCGACAGUGUUUAGAGGUGGGGGGUGCUAUCCAGAACAUCCAGAUUUCCUUUUAUGUCUAUGUUGCUCCUUUGGCCAUUUAUGUUCAUAUUAGCAUUCAUGCAUUGUAGAGUAAGUUGUUGCUUAUUCCACUCUUUGCAUAUUCUCAUGAGGUUUGUAUAAAAAUGAGAUGGAACAUAAUGUUAUGUGCAUGAGGAUUGGAUGUGAACAAGGGACUCUAUAGUGGCAUGAUAAAGAGAACUUGGACAUCGUGGCACUGGCGUUUGAUAUGAAAAUGUGGAAUUGUGACAUUGUGGCAUUAGCUAGAGAUAUUGUGACUUGUGGCAUUAGCGAGAGACAUUGUGACAUUCUGGUAUUAGCUAGAGACAUUGUGACAUUGUGGCAUUUGGCUAGAGACAAUGUGAUCACUCAAGAAAUAAGGAUUGGGAUUAGUAUUUUACCGGAUUUGAUUACCACUAGUUGGUAGGGUAUCCUUGGGUUGGAGGAUUGGAUCAUGCUCACAUACGUCUGUUUUUGCUUAGCAGUGGUCACUCCACCCAAGCAGUGGUCUUCGGAGUACUUCACGGUAGGGGCUAACGUAGCUGUCCUGCAGACAGUCCCGGGUGAGUGUAGCGGACAUCUCCUCACGAUGCGGGAUUGGGGUGUGAGUAGGGGCUCAACCUUCGGGUGAGUCGGAAUGAUUGGGUGAUGAAAAGGUAAAUGGCAUGCAUCAUGAGUAUAGUAGUUGCUAUUACUUGUUUACCUUACCUGUUUAUUGUUUCAUAUGUUGAGGCGUAGUAGCAUGCUAGAUGAUCAUUAUAUUGCUAACCUAUCUACUUUUGCCUGCUUAGACCUAGUGGGAAAAUCGGCGGCGUCGGUAGCCGAACCCACUGAGAACUAUUUGUUAGUUCUCAUCCCACUUUGUUGCAAGGCCUAGCGCGAGCGGACAGGUUGAAAACCGCGGUAAGGGUAUAGCGCCCUAGGUAACUACCUCCUAUGCAUUGGAGUCGAGUUCCAUUUUGUGAUAUGAUGUAUAUUGGUAGAGAGACUUUAUGUAUUUGGGUGAGGUUGCUAAAGAUGUUCAUGUAUUAUGAGAAGUAUUAUAAACCAUUUGUAUAUUUGAUGGUUGAAUGAUGUAAAACCAAGUGGAAACAUGUAAAAAUGGUUGAAUGUCAAUGUAAUAACUAGUUUCUCUCUAACUCUCGCAUGUAUCAUUACUUGCUUGUAUCAUGUAUGUUGUUCAUGUUUGUUUCCUGGGCAACUAGAUGUACAUGAUCGUUCGUUGAGCCUUGGACGGACAGGGGAGACUAUGUCCGUUCGGCGUCUGUCGACGCGCGCGAACCGACCAAAUAGGCGAUUGCGGGGUGUGACAAUAUGUGCUAUUGCUUGCCAGCCUCCAUAGCGGCACUAGAGGGGAGCAACCCCUACCUUGUCUAAUAGCGUGUAACCCUGUCAAGCUCCAUGUGGCUCUGCAGGCUAUAAUCCUAUGUGAGAUCAAAAGAUCACGAGUGACUAAUAUCAUGUUCUCAGUAUACUAUAGACUACUGCUCUAAUACACAACUUCUAACACACAUCUUGCAACAAGUGUAUUGUAACUAAGUGAACCAGACUCUAAAAUCAUGCAUACUAUGUCACUCUACCCCUUCGGCCUAAUCAACAUGUGUAAACAAUAAUUUUCCUAUGUAUUGAUCAUAACUAACUUAGAUAGGUACUCGCAAAUAGGAAUGUUCGAUUUCUACUUUUCGAUAGAAUUUACACUGACAAUACUCUCUAUGAACAUGCAUAAAAUAUAGGCAUGUAUUUGCAUCGAUGGAGACAUAGUAGGAAAUUCGCCAUUUUCAGCGACUCGGAACCCACCUCGAAUUGUUAAUCCAAUAACGGUCAAAAUCAACCUCCAAGGCAUCAAUCCUCGGCUCACUUCUUUUAGGAAUCCACUAAGAAAACUCUGAUAUCAGUGAGGGUGCUAGCAAGGCAAGAUAGAACUAAAAUCCGUUAAUUCAGGAUUCGGUGAAUGAAUACCGGAUUUUGUCGAAAAUUAGUCAAGUAACCUCACAAUCCAAUAGAGGUAGCUCCAAGACAACCAAACGUGCUAGAGGAGCUCGAGAAAAAGCCAAAGCCGGGGUAGGCAUCAUAGUCAUACCCACAAAAUCUGAGAGAGAGACGCCCACAUUGCAGUCGUCCAAGCAGCCACUACCGAAACCACGAGCUGCAUUCUAGCAGCCUCCGCAACAGCCGCGACCGUAACAGCUCCCUAUGCCGUCUCCAUAAAGACGCUCGCAGCAGCUCUCGUGCUCUACAUAGGCAGUGGGGCCUGGGCAAUAGCAGCUGAAUCGACAACAUAGACCCAGUAAGUGCCGUAACCUGACCCGUUAAGGCCACUACUUACCAACAAGUGGCUAUACCUGGUGAAUCUCACCUUGCCGCUAGAUGCCAACUUGGUAAUCCACCACGACUCUCGGUAGAAGCACGAGUCUGCACCAACAUUGUAAUACAAACAGACGUAAUAAAUUUACCAUAUACCAGUAGCACCAAACACGGCGUAAUAAGAUAAGUAUAUGCCUAGAGAUUAUUAAAUCUCGACCCAAAUACUGCGACUUAAUUCUAACAACCCCGCGCUCUCACGUGCCUAUAAGCCUUAGGUUACCUAUGGGUCAUCAUAAACUAUAGUUGAUUGUGGUUCAAAUUUUCUCUGAUACCAUAUUAAUCUGUCACGCCUCAAGGUUCUUUUUGGAAGUCCUUCUUAGAAAAACUAGCGAAAAACAUGUAGAUUUUUUAAAAAAACAUCUUUGAGAACACCCCGCGAACGCACAAAAACCCAUCACAUGGACAAAAGAUUCCCUAUAUAAAUGGACAAAGUCUCCCCUGUACAUGGACGGCGUAGUACUAUAAUAUAAAAUCAACCAAAGAUACAACCACACAAUACAAAUAAUAUAAUGAUCAUAUGAUAACGAUAAAUUACAUACGUCCAUUAUAGUUAAACAUUAAUAGGUAAUGAACUAAACUAAUACAGCGAAAUGAUAAUGAAUAUUAACAAUGAACAGAUCUGGAACACGGCUAUCUAGUAUCGUCCUCAUGCACCGUCCCAACCCUCAUUGCCUGCGUCACCUAAAAAAUGGUGAGGGGCAGGGGGUGAGAACAUGUAAACAUGUCUCCUCUCCCAGUGGGUACCGCAAGACGAUGAAAGCAAGGCAUACUCACCUGCAAAAGGAAGAGAUAACCAUAAUCAUGAGCAGGUAUCAUAUGGAUAGUAACAAUGAAAUGAUAAUUGGCAAUGAAUGCUAAAGCACUGCUACUAUAAGUAGAAAAUGACAACUAGGCAUAAUCGACAAAUGUAUCGAAGUAGUAACAACGAUGGCUAGGAAGAAACUACAACAGCCAAUCAAUAUAUAACUAUCUAUUACUGCAACAAGCAAUAGAAUACACCAAUGCAGCAAAUGGGUGAAUAAUGCCAAUAACCAAGCCAACUAUCGUAUUGGCCAAAAGACUUUAGGCUAAACCACAUCCUACUCGCCCACCUGGCAGAUAACCCUAACAGGCACUUCGUAGGGCUCAUGGGUCAAAUGUACGACUACUUUUCUGGAAAAGAACACCUUUUGGGUUGAUCAGACCACUGGUGUACAUGAAAUUCUUACGAGCUGUGGUGAUCGAUGCAAUAUGAACAAUAGCGACAUCGGCAAGUAGCCGAGAGAAUAAUCCAUAAGGAGUCGCGGACCAAUCAGGUCAAUCUCUAUCUAAGAGUGCCACUGACCAUCAGGUCAAGUAAUGUCAAGUCAUGCGAUAUACCAAUAGAAGUGUCACCAAACGCAAGGUCAAAAAAUAUUAAAUCAUGUAACACACAAAUAGGAGUGCCACCGACAACAAGGUAAACUAAUGUCAUAACAUGCAAUAUACAUCUAAGAAUAUUAGUAACCAUAUGGUCAACUAAUGUCAUAACAUGCAAUAUACAUUUAGGAGUGUCACAAACCAUAUGGUCUACUAAUGUCAUAACAUGCAAUAUACAUCUAGAAGUGUCACAGACAACACCGUCAACUAUUGUCAUAACAUAAAAUAUACAAAUAGGAGUGUCACUGACCCCACGGUCAACUAAUGUCAUAACAUGCAAUAUACAAAUAGGAAUGCGACCGAUAACAAGGUCAACUGAUAUCAAGGUCAUCUACUAUAAUCAUACAAUAGAUAACGUCUCAAUCACAAAAGAACACCGCUCUAACACUAAAUCAUGAUAAUACGAGACAAAAGCAACUGUAGAACAACUAGCUAUGAAGUCAAGUGGUGUACGAAAGCUGUACCGAUAUCAAGUAAAUGAAAGGAGAUGAUAGGGACAGAAAUCACCGAACAGGCACCACUUUACCAACUUCGGAUCGAAAUACCCACCUCUACCAUAGAAUAAAACCCGAUUGUUGGGACCUAUGCAAAGUCCCAUCCAAAAUCAAAAUUAGCUCAAACCCACUAAUUACAAAAGCUAUGAUUCCAUGUGAAUACAAACAAGUGAACAAUCAAUUUUUCGAAUCUCGUUCCACGGUCACUGGAAGAUCGCCCGAUAGUCACACCGACUCGUUGGAACGUCACCUCCACCUACGAGGUGUCCCAAAUUGAGCCCCACACUUAUCCUACCUCACCCACUAUCCCAACAUAUAAUUUUAAUGCUAUUGGGGCAAUUGCACAAGUAGUGCGCCAAAACGAAAAACUAAGAUCCCGAAAAUCACCGAUUUGGCUUCGGGAAUGUCCAUUUUAGCACUGGAAUCACCCACAGCCCUCACACUGCGACCAGAGGUGUCAAACCUUGUCUUAACACCAGCCAAUAAGGUUACAACACCACUACAACUAGCAGCAGUAAGCGCGAUACGAAACCGCUCCCGAGAUGACACAAUUUUCAUAUUUUAGGGUCCGGAACUACCCUGAAGUUUUUGAAACACUCCGAAAUUCACUCAACCAUCCCCCCUUGUCCCAAAACACUCACUUUUGUGAGUCAGGACAGCCGCACACUAUGUGGUACGAUCUGGGUGCGAAAUCCUUAAAAUCCACUAUAUUUGGUUCUCAAAAAUCAUCUAUUUAGCUCCGGAACCCACUAGGGCCCAUCGUUGGUCUGAGCUUUGCACCAGCGAAAUCCAGCCAGCCAACGAGGCUUCCCAACCACUGUAACAAGCAGCAAAACCCGUUCUGCGAGAACGGAUUCAAAAAUCACCUAUAUUAUACACAUAACCCACCAUUUACAUGCUCAUCAACAUGAAAUCCCAAUUGAGGGAUUCCUGGACUUUGAAUAUCAAGUACGAACCAUUCAUGCAAGAAACCAUGCUAUCCGGGACAGUAAUGACACAACAAGUGUCAUUGUGGCAUUAAGUCGAACACCCGGCGCAUGAUAAUAAUAGAAUAAUUCAUUGUAUAGAAAAUUACCAUCAAUUCCGUGACUUCAGAAUGCAAGCGAAGCUAUAGUCCAGAAGGUCUCACUGUUCUGGACAUCGUUCUCACUGUCCGGACUGAAUCUGAGCAUCAUGGAAGAAGUUGGAGCAACAAGAAUCGUAGCUUUCAUCGUCUCCAAGAGCGACAUCGUGAGAACAACCAUUAGGGACACAUCUAGUUGCAAACAAAGAGAGCACUGCACUAUAGAAGGGCUCCUAAAGCUAUGCUUUGCUGUCAGAAGAUUGCCGGUGGCCAGAUGUGUCGAGAAAGAGGUAUCAACCCGAGCCAAUCCUAGCCGCAACCUACAAAAUAAAUAGUAGGCAGUAAAGACUCCCAGACUUUCGUACGACCUAGGAGUGGUUGACGCCGACCAUAAUUGGUGGUCUCGACAAGAGGAGACCCUUAGGUACGAUGGCCGGCGGUGGAGACCAACGGCGGUGCCAGAUUUGAAGACUUGGCCAUACCAUCCUUGAGCUUGGGCUCGGGCUUGGGCUCAAGCUCGGGGAGGUCUGGGGCAGUGGCUAGGCUGAGAAGGGGUCGUCGGACUUCUCCCCCGAUGGUUGCAGCGGCGGCAGUCGCAGCAGAUCCAAGUAUGGGAGAAAACCCGAGGAGACAAAGGUCGGUGAUGAGAGAGGAAGAGGGAACGAGAGAUAGAGAGGGAAACCCAGCCAGGGGCUCGCCGCUAGCUAAGGGGAUCACCGAUGGCGGGGCACCAUGCAACGGCGACUAGGAGAGAGAGGAGAGGGUAUAGUAGGGUUAGGGUUACCCUAGGGCAUCAUUCUCUCUAUACACAUAUAUGUAAACCUACUCAUACAUGGUAUAAAAAAUAGUUUAGUCGAUCAAACCAUCCUAUUUUCUUCUCAGCCCCCUCCAUGCACCAGCACAAGCACUUCGCGCAAAAGUACCUCUCCAAGCGAUCUCUCACGGUUUGCUGCAUAAAAUACCGCAUUAUAUACAAAAAUAUCCUGGUUCCAAAACCCUUCCUCUAGAUUCAAGUCUGUGCUAUUUUGCACAGGAGACCCACAAUUUUGCGAAACAUGAAUCAGCACAUUCCCCACUGAGUGUACAAUCAAUUGAGCCCAUACACUUGCCAAAACUCUACAAUUUUAUACAUAAAAUGAUAACCUCUUCCCAAAGAGUUUCAUUUUCACACUUUGCAAAAAUUACAAUUUAGCCCUCCAACCUUAGAGUUUCAUAUUAAAAAUAACAACUGCAUGUAAAAUGCCAAAUGACACCAUCUCAUGGAUUUUCACACAAAACGGAGUAUCGAAAAAUUCUAAAAAGCAAAAACAUCGAGUAGAAAAAAGCCAAUCUGUGAUAAUAAUAGAUUUUCUCGAAAACUAUGCAUCAAACGUAAAAUCAAACAGUGCCAUUACUUCCGGCAUAGUCGAACCAUCGAAAAUGAUCUAUUGGGUCAUCCAAAAUGAAGUUUGAUUCACAUUCGAAGCCAACCUGAAGUCGAAGCCUCAAAAUAAAAUCGGAUUACUAUUCAUUUAAGUGAAUAGUAACAGUCACCAUACACCUUUAAAUAUAAACUAGUCUUUCACCGAUAUUAAACCAAUAAAUUCCAACAUUAAAAUAUAUGUACAACACUACUGAAAAGUACCAAAUUACAUUAUAAAAAUCUCAGUCCUCUUAUCAUCCCCUUCUUAUAAAAUUUCGUCAGCGAAACUUGACUACAGCCACCGUAAUCAAAUUUGGAUACCGUUCCACUAUUGGUUUCACCUUCGAGAUGAGGGAAAACGUACCAACCCUAAACCUACAGACUAAAAUCCACUGGGUGCACCAUCCACUAACCAGCGAAUUAUGACAGUACCGUAACCUGGACUAUCCGAUCUCACACCUGCCAAACUUGGGUGGUAAAAGCUCACUGUAAAUAUCGAAUCUUCGAGUUAUGAGGCUAACUUUGAUCGAAUUGAUCAAAGUGAGGCUUGAGCAUGAUGUGCGACAUCCCCAAGCUGUUUUGGAGGCGUGGGGAUGGUUAGAAGUGAGUUUCGGGAUUGUUUAAGUAUUUUCGGCGCAAACCGGGCACGAAAACGAACCCUAGAGCAUUGCUGCUGUCAAAAGGGCCAAAGUAACACUGAGUACCGAUACUAGAGCAAUGCGGUAUCGGUACCCAGUCAGAGCGUGUUGGUAUAGCUCUCGGGAUCCGGACUGUAUGAGACUGUAUACUGGUACUGUACACUGGUACCAGUACUAGACUAGUCUGGUACCGGUACUGGGAUGGUGUACCGGUACCCCAGGUCGCAAAGCCUUCGGGUUUGGAGGCUGUGUACCGGUACUAUACAUGGGUACUGAUACUGGAAGCUCUGCGUACUGGUACUCCAGCCCGAGUACCGAUACCCAGCCUGAAAAGGAUUGAAUUGUAAUAGAGUAAAUUGGGAAAUAUGAAAUUUUUAAGUGCAAUUGUGGGGCUCCUAUAAAUACCCUAACCCUUACACCUAUUAUUCCCAUGCAUGAAAGGGAGCUUUGUUCUUAUCUCCUCCUCACUCUUUCUUCUUCUCUCUCUAGAGAUUCAUCAUCAAGGUGGUACUUGAGAGAUUGAAGAUAAAAAUUAGUAGAUUUGGUAGAGAAGAAGCUCAAGGGCAAGGAGGAUUUCGUGAAGCAAGAACCCAAGGUAAGCUUCUUGCAUUUCUUGGUUAGGGUUUGAGUUAAAUAACCUGAAUCAUUAGGUUUUGUAGUCUCUAGGAUUUCUAGAGCUUGAUUAUGCAAUGAAACCCUAGAAACUUAGACUAUAUUGGGUAUCUUAUACCCUGGAGUAAAAGUGGGGCUUUAUUAAAUAUGAGAUCUAACAUGGUUUUGAUCUCUUGUAGCCCUAAUUAAGGAGUAAAUCGACGCGUUGGGAGGGUCGGAUCGAAGUUCUGACGAGUCUACACAGAGUUAUUAAGGAAAAUCCUUAUUUCGGCUUCGUUUGUCGUGGGUCGAGAGGAGCGGUCGUCUAUAAAUCGCGGAAUGUGGUUUCUCACACUUCGGCAUCACUACAAGGUGGGUUGUAACAUACCGAAGUUCUAAAGUCAUGAAGUUACGGUAUAUGUUAGCUUGGAGGAGUUAAAAAUAAGUUUAAAAGAGGUUAGAAAGGUUUUGGCAUCGACCGGCGCGAAAUAGAGUCGAGUCGGAGCCAAAACAGCAUUCUGGGCAAUGAGUGCCGGUACAGCAAAGUGUACCGGUACAGCAUUGAAAGUGUACCAGUACAAAUGCUACGAAACCGAGAAGCAGCUCUCGGGUUUUGUCUCUGCGCAAUCGUGUUAUCGGUGACACGAGGAAGUGUACCGGUACACUUUGUGCAGACAGCACAGAUUAGGUCUGCUGCAAAUAUAAGUUGAUGGAGGGCUUAUUUAGAAAUGUUGCACAUUAUAUAUGCAACCAAACCCCUUCUCCUUCAUAGCUGCCCUCUCCUCUCCCAUUUUCUCUCCCCCUCUCUCUCUCUAGAAGCUUUGCACCGAGGCAAAGGAGGAGGAGAAGAAGGCUUAUUGAUGGAUUUUUGAGGGUUUUGAAGGAUCAAGAAGCUCUCCUUCAAGGUGGUCUUGGAAAAGCUUGGGCUAAGGUGAGUUGUUUUGUAAGAAUACAUCUAGGGUUUAGAUUUUUACCCUAAAAUCUAGUGUUUUGAUCUUCUUACAAGCUUUAGAACCUUGUAGAGGCUUGGAAAUACAUGAAACCCAUGUGUUCUUCAAGGUGCUCUAAUGAUAGAUUUCUAGGGUUUGUUCUAAAAGCCCUAGGGAUGGUUCGAAUGGUUCUAAAUGAAUUCCUAGAUGUUGAACAAGCCCUCUUUUGCUUGUUCCAGAGAUCAAAACUAAGGAUUGGGAUUAUGGCAUUGUUAGGGCACCCAAAUUGGGGCUUUUGUCGUAGAUGGGUUUAAAUGUAAAUUAACCUAUACAAACCUAAUUGCUAGCUAUACGAACACGUUGGUGAAGUCGGUUCGGCGAUUCGUCGAGCCUACGCGAAGUUAUUGAAGAAACGGACCGUUAAAGCUUCGUUUCCGCCUGGAGGGUCGAGGCAACAUCCUAAAAUCAUGAAAACGGAAUCGUAGGCUCGUGGCAACUAACCGUAGACCUUUAAUUUUCGGAUCGUGGAUUGGAGGCCGUUCGGGUGGUCGCGCGAGAGUUCGGGCCAAACUGGGUCACGGGUGCCGCGGGAGGCCGAUUGCAAGUGACUACAAGCAAUCGGAGUGCGAAUUGAGGUGGGUUGUGUUUACCGAAGCGACUAGGUCGCCUGUAUGUCUAAGACUAGUGCUUACUAUUGAUGCAUGUAAUGGUAGCUAGUGGUAGAACAUAUAAAUGCGUAAGGUGAAAUGCUAUGUUAGGCUACCAAAUAAUGCAUAUGGUCAUAAUGUGAGAAUGCUAAGUAAUGCAUAAUGACAUAGUGUAAAUAAUGUUAAUUGGAAAGUAUAAAGUAAAUGACAUAUGUUAGUCAUAUUGCAUGUAUAGAAAUGCUAAUGUAAGAAUGCUAAGUGAAUGCAUAUUGAUAAGAAAUAAGAAUGCUAAAGAAAAUGUAUAAUAAGCAGGUUGUAGAGAUGCUAAUGUAAAAAUGCUCAGUAAAGGACAUGUACUUGUGGACAUAUACAUAUACACAUAGAUCGAGUGGCAUUGAACCUAGAGUCGUGAACCUAGGUUGAACAAAAGUGAUAUUGAACCUAGUGUUAAUGAACAUAGGUUAAACAAGAAUGGCAUUAAACCUAAUGUUAGAGAACAUAGGUUGAGAUUGAAUCUAGAGUUAAGUCAACCUAGGUUGUGAGUUAAAGAUAAUGAACCUAGUUUUAAAGUAAACCUAAGUUAUGUGAUAAAAGUGUUAAACCUAGAGUCAAGUGGAUCUAGGAUGGAAUGGAUAAUGGACCUAAGUAGGUCGAUACCAUAGGGUUAAGACCAACCCUUGAGUUAUGUGGAAAUGAAUUCCGGAAUCCCAGAGCUUAUGGAACACCCAAAGUGGUGUUGGGCGUGUGUGACGAUUUUGCCGUCCGGGGCUAUACCAUCGACGUGGCGUGUGCGACGAUUUCGUCACCGGAUGGGUGAGCUGAUUUGUGGCCUAUACCGGUUGAGCCGGGUUGUGGAUCAUAUCGCUGGUGGACUCGAACCAUCGACAUGGCGUGUGCGACGAUUUCGCCCCCGGGUGGCUAGGUCAUGGACCGCGGUGGGCUGUGGUUGGCUGAGGUGCUUGUGAGAGUUCCUUCACCUUGAGCCGGAGACAGCACGGAUUAUCCGCUGUUGAUUGACUCAAGACCGAGUCGAAUGGCAUAGUGUGGCUAAGGUAAGAGUAACCUUAGGAAAGAGCAAAGAAUGUGGCAUAGUGUGGCUAAGAUAAGAGUAACCUUAGAAAAGAGCAAAGAAUGGCUAAGAAUAAGAGUAGAAUUAAAUUAAUCUACUUAGUUGGUUGUAUAGAUUUCAUAUUGCUAUUGUGAGGCAUGACAUGUAGUUCAAUAUCAAAUAAAUGUAUAAAUAUUUGUUGUAUAUUAUUGGACUAACCUGUUGCAGUGCCUCAUUAGAUCUAUUGGUUGAGCUUUUCCCUUGGGUGGCCGUACCCACUGGGAAUCAUGGAGUUGGUUCUCACCCCACGUUAUUUUGGGGUGUUACAGGUACACACGUGAGUGGCGCGACGGCGCGAGGUAAGGCCGUAACUCCGUAGAUAGCGCCCUACCCCAGAGACCAGAGGUAGCAGUACUCCGAGGUGGUCUAGCGUAGGGGUUUAGAGAAACAAAGAACAAACUUGUAUUAAGUGAUGUAAUAAAUAGAUUGUAUUUGGAAGUUGAAUGUAAAAGAAAAUUGUGAUGUAAAAGCAUGUAGUAUGAAUAUUGUAAUAGCAUUAGUUGUUUUAUGUUUUUGAUACUUCCUUAUGCAAUCUUUGUUUGAAAUGUAUUCCUAGAUGGAACUUCAUACAUUGUAUUGAUUGCGACGCCUAGGACGUACAGGGGAAACUCUGUCCGCUCGGCGGUCUGUUGGCGUGCCCGAACCCGACCAAAUAGGCAGGGCACGGGGCGUGACAUGGGUGGUAGUCUUGAGUAUCUAUGUAUGUGUACACUGAAUUCAUGCAUUAUAGGGUAAAUGUGACACAUGGUUCAAUUGUAUGCUUUGAAAGUAAAGGACAUGUGAACAAUAGAUGAUGAACAUAAAAACCCUAUAGAUGUAUGAACAAGUGUUGAACUAUGACAAUAGUAAACAAAGUGACAUUGUGACUAGACGGCAUGAGUAGCACCAAGUAAUGUGAAUGCUAGACAAGGAAAAAUCAUGUAUGAACUUGUGGCAAUUGUGGCAUUUAUAAUUAAGAUGAAUUGGUUAGCACCUAGAAUUGGAAAUACUAGAUAAAGAGAACUUGUCAAGAUUGUGGCAUGGUAUCCUCCAAGUGAGGAUUGGAUCGUACUCAUAGGUAGUCUGAAUGAUCGAGGUAGGUUGCUCCACCUUAAGCGGUGAGCUCUGGAGCGUCAUCAACUGGGUUGGUAGUGGAAUUCUCCCCAGCAGACGGUCCCGUCGGGUUGUAGCGGUAUUCUCCCCGACAAAAGUGAUUUGGUUUGGUGAGUUGGGGUUAACCAAAUGGUUAACCAAGUUGAUUGGGUAAUGGUAAAAGUAGGAAGCAUGCAUCAUGAGUAUAUUGUUUCCUUCCAGUGGUAUACAGGCAUUCUAGUAGCAUUAGUUUUGGUUACUAUAUCUUUUUUCUUUCCUACAUAUGCCUGAGUACACCUAGUGGGUGAGUCGGCAAGGUCGGCAGCAAAACCCACUGGAAACUUUCAUUAGUUCUCACACCACUAACCUUGCAGAUCCUAGCGCUUGCAGGGCGGUCGAGGAUUGCGGCAAGGGCAUCGCGCCCUAGGUAGCGGGCUUCCCUCGAGUUUAGAUUUAUACUAGUUUAGUUUCAUCUUUUUUGUAUUAUGAUGUAAAGAAAUACAUAAAUGAAACUAUGAUGUAUGUAUUUGAGGACAUGUGAUGUAAGUUGGCAAAUGGAUGUAAAGAAUACAAUGAAUUAUCUAGCUUUGUAUUUUGUUUAAAGUUUGCAAGAUACAAUGGAUGUUGUAAUAGUAGCUAGUUACUUUCACUUGUGCUUGUAUUGCUUGCCCUCGUGCAAGCCAUGUAUAAUGAAUUUAAUCCUUGGCUAAUUCUUUAUACAUGAUGGUUGUUGUUGGUUGAGCCUUGGGCGAACAGGGGAGGCCCUGUCCGUUCGGCGUCUGUGGACAUGCCCGAACCGAUCAAAUUGGCGGUCGUGGGGCGUGACAGAUAUAAUGGUAUCCGAGCAUGAAAGUGAAAGUAUAGGAUGGACCUAGGGACCUUAGGAUUGGAGACCUUAAGGACUAUAGGACACAUGUAAUGUACUGAAACUCCGGUAGAGUAUAUCGAACUUUAGUCAAAUUGACUGAAGUGCGUGAGAGAAAUGUUUGGACAAAGUCUAUUUAACAUUCCAAUAAUGUUGGAAGGGUUAAAGUUGAGUUCCAAAAGAGUUAGAAAGGUUUUAACAUUGGUCAGCGUGAAACGGAAUUUAAACAAUGCAAAACUGAAAUUCUGGAGCAUUGGUAACCGGUUACAGCCUUGGAUGGUACCGGUACCAUACAGCUGAGAGAGAGCAGCAGCUCUCGGGUUAGCCUCUGCGCGACGGUGUAACCGGUGACACCCUUGGCUUGUACCGGUACCAAGUCAGCUACCCGAGAAGGCAGCUCUUUGGUUUGGCUGUUGCGUAAUCGUGUAACCGGUGACAAAAUUUGUUUGUACCGAUACGCAGUGUCCCGAACAGCAGUUUUGGUCUGCUGUAAAUAAAAGAAAAUUGAGGGCUUGGUUUCAAUUGUAGCAACUUAUAAAAGACCCCAACCCCUCUUUUCUCUUGUUCCCAGCUGAGAACACUCCAACUUCAUUUCACUCCCUCUCUCUCUCUAGAAACUCUCUCCCAAGGUGCAAAGAGGAGAUCAAGAGGAGGAUUAGGAGAAGAUUUGGACUUUUGGAUGAUCUAGAGCUCACCUACAAGGUGGAGCUUGUUGAGUUCAUAGACUAAGGUAAGGUUUCUUGUGAGAUUGAGGCUAGCGCUUGGUUUUGUGCCCUAAACCUUUUGGUUUUGAGCUUCUUACAUGAAAAGAAAUCUUGUAGAGAUCAUGGAGCCCACGAAACUUCAUGUUUAUCCAUGAGCUCUCAUGGUGGAUUUCUAGGGUUUGGUUUAUAUACCCUAGGAAUAGUUCAAAUGACCUAGAAAUAGUUCUAGAUGAGUUCCUAGAUGAUAGAUAAGCUUACUUUUGCUUGUCUUAGAGAUCAAACCAAGGUAUUGGGCAAAUGAUAUUGUUAGGGCACCAAAAUUUGGAGCUUUUGCCCUAGGUUGGUUUAAAGGUAAAUUGACCUUGUAGAAAUCAAAUUUGGGAUAUUUCUAACCCGUUGGUGGACUUGGUUCGCUAAUCCGACGAGUCUAUAUAAAGAUAUUGGGAAAAAAUCCUAAUUUGGCUUCGUUUUGCCGCAGGCGAGAGAAUAGGAGCCCAAAAAUCACGAGAUUUGAACUGUAACACCUCUACAACUAUGCGAGGUGGGUGGUGCUUUCCGAAAUUAUUAGAUUUCCUCUCAUGUCUAAAGUGUCAUUUUUGAGCAUAUGUAUGUAUAGUAUCUUCAUGCAUUGUAGGGUUGAUUGAGAUAUAUUAUUUGCAUGCUUGUAGUAUAAAGAUGCAUAUAAGAAUGUUGAACAAAGUGGAAACCCUAUGUAUGCAUGAAUGGUGACAAAGACCUAGAUGAGGUAAAGAACAAAAUGACAUUAUGACAUAUGGAUUGUGUGGUAUUAGUAAACACAUAGAGUGGCAUUAAUGAGUUUUGAAUGCUAGAGUUGAACACUUAAUGUGUGUGGCAUUAAUGAAUGCAUGUGAAUGAGUAUAAAGAACAUGUAGUGUAAGUGACACUAAUGAAAGUUAAAAAUGCAAGUAAAGUAAGAUAGUUGGUAUUAUGACAUAACAACCUUAAAGUUAAGGGUCAUAUGAGCAUUGCAUCCUUAUAGUGAAUGAUUGGAUUGAACUUGGUAUCCUUAAAGUUAAGGAUUGAUCAUACUCGCCUAUAAGUCUUGGCUCGGAGGGUGGUAGCUCCCCCUCGAGCGAUGAGCUCCGGAGUGUCAUCACAGGGUUAGUGUUGCCCAGAGGACAGUCCCGUCAGGAGGAAGCUUAGGGCCCGAUAUUAGGGAUUUGGUUGACAAGUCUGUUGAUCCCGUCGAGAGGAAGCUGAGGGCCCGAUAGUAGGGAUCGGAAUUGGUAAGUUGUUGGUUGAGGCGAAACCUACAGGUUAGCCAAAAUGACCGGGAAUUGAAAAGUGGAUCUUGUAUUCAUCAUUAGCAUUCUAUUUGAGUAUAACAUUGAUUAUAUUGUUCAGACAUAUUAGCUGCAUUUGUUUAGUUGGUUACUAUCUAUCUAUUAUUCUAUUAUGUCUGAUUUAGACAUAGUGGGAAAGUCGGCGAGAUCUGCGGCCGAACCCACUAGGAACUUUGUUGUAGUUCUCAUCCCCCCUAUUUCCACAGAGCCAGGACUGAGUGAGCCGGCCGACGAUCGCGGUACAGGUAUCGCGCCAUAGACAGUGACCACCCUUGUUGGUUAUAUUUUGUGUAGUUGCAUACCCUUUUAUAUAUCAUCUUUUGUACUUUGAUGAUUCUAGUUGUAUGAAUGAUGCAAAUGUUUAAAUGAAAGAAUGUAAAGAGUUCUAUUUUAGGAAUAUGUGAUGUAAAAAGAAAUGAUGCAAAAGAUGUAAAAGAGUACAAAUGUUGAAUGCGUGUACGUGGUUAAAAGUUAAUCAUAUUACUUGUAUGUUGUUUAGUUAGUACUUUCACUUUGGCUAUUGCUUGCCCUCGUGCAAGCCAAAUUUGUAUGUUUUCGUUUGUGCAAAUUUCUGUACUUGAUUGUACUUGUUGUUGAGCCUUGAGCGAACAGUGGAGGUGUUGUCCGUUUGGCGUCUGUUCGACGUGCCUGAACCGACCAAAUAGGACCGGUUUUGGGGCGUGACAACACGAGUAACGUGGACUUGACUUAUAACGAAAGCUAAAUGAAUUGGGUUAGUUGGUAGUAUGUCUCUAAUAGUAAUUAGGGACUAAUCCAAGUUGUUAUUUGUUCUCAACUUAAGAGAUUAUGUUGGCGGUCGACAAUAUAAUAUUGAGAGAUGAGGACAAGUACAUUUUAUUGCUUUCGCCUGAUUUGGUUUGGUCAGGGUGUGUUGUUAUGAAGUGUAUGUAAUGCGAGUCGAGUACUAAUAUGGGUACUACGUUUUAGGAGACGAUGGCACCAACUCGAUGUCCGACAACAAGAUCCACUCUUGCAUCGCCUUCUGAGGUGCCCGAGCAGUCUGGAUCUGAUGAAGUGCGGGAGUUUCGUGCUCAUGUGGCUGCAAUAGUUAGAGCUAUGCAGCGUUAGGAGGAGCAAAUCGGGAGGCUCCAGGAGUUGGUGUCUCGGCAGGCGGCGGCGGCGGCGACUGCACCUGUGAGUCAGGAUCUGCCCGCUCCUGCAGUACUGGCUCCUACUGUAGCAGCGGCACCGGCCACGACACCUCCAGUUCCGGCGACUACUCCAAUGGCUUCUGGCUCUUCAGGUGUUGAUUCGGCCAUACUAGAGGCCGAGCAGGAGCGGUCAUUGGCGGUGUUGACUGCCUUCAAAUGGUUCCACCCUUCUACUUUCGACAGGGAGGUGGCGGACCCUUGGGUGAUGGAGGCAUGGCUUACGUCUAUGGAGGCAUUAUUUGAAGAUAUCUAUACCUUAGAGAAGGACAAGGUUCACUUGGCCGCACAUUGCUUUGAGAAGUCGGCUCAAGUGUAGUGGAGGCAAGUUUAGAAGAACUGGUCUUCAGAUCUUCCUCCAAUUACAUGGGAGGAAUUUUGGGGGUUGUAAUCAUGGAGUACAUCCCCGACAGUGAUAAAAGAAAGAUAAAGGAGGACUUUCGCAAGCUGAGGCAAGGAAGUCGCACCGUGUAGGAGUACGAGCGGGAUUUCUUGCAUUUGGUGAAUUGCGUUCCGGGUUUAAUUCAUGGUGACCGAGACCGUGCGGAGUGUUUUGAGCAGGGGUUGUGACCCGAGAUAUUCAAGAUGAUCCAUGCCCUCAAGUUGAAGACUUUUGAGGAGGUGUUAGAUCAUGCUCUUUGGGUGGAGCGAGAUAAUGCUAUCGCGCGGGAGGAGCGCGAGUCAUUUGAAAGUGAAAGGGACAAAGGCAAGAAGCAGGCGGCUAGUGGUUCCAGGAGUCAGUCAAGCUCUAAACGGCCCCCUCAGCAAUCACGAUCACAGUCGAGGAGUCGGGGAUCAUUUUGGUGUGUCAUCUGUGGUGGAGACCAUCGACCGACGAGUUGUCCACAGCGUGAGGGGAGGAGCUAUAAGUGUGGCCAGGCAGGACAUCUAAGUCGGGAGUGCCCGAGUGGAGCAUCGCCUACCCCAUUAGCUGCGUCGAUUCAGUCGACUCCGAGAUAGCUUGCGGGAUUGCACCCGCUAUGUCAGCUGGACGCCCACCUUUGCCGCGUCAACCAAAAGGAUCUCGAGCGGCACCGAGUUGUCAAGUUUUUGCUGCUCAAGUGGAGGAGCCUGCCGUAGUCGAUGAUGUAAUGGCAAGUAUUGUUUUAAUUAAUAGAUUAUGCCGACGGAUUUGCUUGUGUUGAGCCAUAUGAAAGGCUUCGACAUAAUCCUUGGGAUCGAUUGGCUCUCGAAAUAUUAUGCUACUGUUGAUUGUGAGAGAAAGGUAAUCACUUUUCGUGAACCCGGUCAAGAAAAGGUAGUCUACCGUGCGUGUAGAAGCUCGCUCUUUGCUAUGACGAUGUUGACGUCGAGAGCGACGAAGUUGAUUAAUAGUGGGUUUCCGGAUGCUUCCGGCGCUUGGAGAUAUUCCAGUAGUUCGUGAGUUUCCGGAUGUGUUCCCCACUUAGUUGUCGGGAUCGCCACCGGACCAAAAAAUUUUGUCAUUGACUUGAUUCUCGGGAUGGCGCCAAUUUCGAAGGCUCCGUAUAGAAUGGCACCGGCGGAAUUAAAGAAGUUAAAGGCCUAAUUGCAAGAUCUUCUCGACAAAGGCUUUGUGAAGCCUAGUGUGUCACCUUGGGGAGCUCCAAUGUUGUUUGUGAAAAAAAAGGACAGAACACUUCGGCUUUGUGUUGAUUAUCAUGAGCUGAAUAAGGUGAUGAUUAAGAAUAAGUACCCGUUGCCUCGGGUUGAUGAUUUAUUUGACCAAUUGCAAGGGUCUCGGGUAUAUUCAAAGAUUGAUCUUCAAUCGGGUUAUCACCAAUUGAAGAUCAAGCCGGAGGAUGUGCACAAAACGGCAUUUUGAACCCGUUAUGGUCACUAUGAGUUCACGGUGAUGCCGUUCGGCCUACAAAUUACUCUGCUGCAUUUAUGGACGUAAUGAAUUGGGUAUUCAAGCCGUUGUUGGAUCAGUGUGUCGUGGUGUUCAUUGACGACAUAUUAAUCUAUUCUCGGAGCGACGAGGAUCAUAAGGAGCAUUUGAGAAUUGUGAUGCAAAUUCUCCGAUAGAAAAAGCUCUAUGAGAAGUUGAAGAAGUGCGACUUUUGGCUUCGUGAGGUUACCUUCUUAGACCAUGUUAUUUUCGAGGGUGGUGUAUCCGUUGACCCGAGGAAAGUUGAGGCAAUUAAGGAUUGGCCUCGCCUGACAAACAUUGCGGAGAUCCAAAGUUUCCUUGGUCUUGCGAGUUACUAUCGGCGGUUUAUGGAGGGGUUUGCUAAAAUUACUACUCCACUAACGCGCCUCACGCAUAAAGGAGCGAGGUUUAUUUGGAGCGAGGAAUGCGAUUGAAGCUUUCAAGAGCUAAAGGAAAGAUUGACUUCAACUUCUGUACUCGCCUUGCCGAUUUUGGGGAAGAGUUUUGUAGUCUAUAGUGAUGCCUCCUAUAGCGGUCUUAGGUGUGUUCUUAUGCAAUGUGGGCGGGUUAUUGCUUAUGCUUCUCGCCAGUUGAAGAGCUAUGGGAAGAACUACCCUAUUCAUGACCUCGAGUUAGCCGCGGUGAUUUUCGCGUUGGAGUUGUGAAGGCACUCCUUGUAUGGUGAGCGAUGCGAGGUUUAUACCGAUCAUAAAAGCCUCGAGUAUUUAUUCACUCAAAAGGAGUUGAAUAUGCGGCAAUGCCGGUGGUUGAAAUUGUUAAAAGACUAUGAUGUUACUAUUCUAUACCACCCGAAAAAAGCAAAUGUAGUGGCCGACGCACUUAGUAGAAAGUCUGUGGAGAAUCUUGCCAUGGCUAUUACACAUCAACUGUCAUUGUGGAAUGAAAUGCGGCGGUUUGAUCUAGAGGUUGUUGCUGCGAAGGUUCCAGUUAUACUUGCUUUGCUAGUCGUGCAACCGACUUUGUUGGAGAGGAUUAAAGAUCGACAAGCUUUGGAUCCAUAUCUCCAAAAGGUGCGGCAUGAUAUUGAGAGCGGGCGCGCCGGUGAUUUUAGUGUGGGAUCCGAUGGCGCACUCCGGUUUCGGAACCGUUGGUGUGUGCCCAAGGACAAGGAGAUUCAAAAGGUUAUAUUGCAACAAGCGCACCAAUCUUCGUAUAGUGUGCAUCCAGGCGGUACCAAAAUGUACAAAGAUCUCAAAGUGCAUUAUUGGUGGCCGGGGAUGAAGAAAGACAUUGGAGAGUUCGUGGCGCAGUGUUUGAUGUGACAAUAGGUUAAGGCGGAACAACGAUUUUCAGCGAGCAAGUUGCAAAGCAUAUUUAUUCCCGUUUGGAAAUGGAAAGAUGUAGCGAUGGACUUUUUGGUUGGGUUACCCUGAUCCCAAGCCAAACAUGAUGCUAUAUGGGUAGUGGUGGAUCGAUUUACAAAAUCAGCACAUUUCUUGCCGAUUCACGCUACUUGGUUCGGGGAUAAGUUAGCACAAGUCUAUCUUGAUAAGAUGGUGAGAUUGCAUGGGGUUCCGACGUCUAUAGUAUCGGAUCGAGACCCUCGAUUCACAUAUCAUUUUUGGAAGAGUUUGCAAGAUGCUCUUGGCACACGGCUCGACUUUAGCACGGCAUUUCAUCCUCAAAGUGACGGACGGUCGGAGAGGACAAUUCAAAUUUUGGAGGUAUGCUUCGAGCGUGUGUACUUAAUUACAAAGGUGGUUGGCACAAUUAUUUGUUGAUGGCCGAGUUUGCAUACAACAAUAGUUAUCAAGAAAGUAUUGCGAUGGCACCAUUUGAGGCUCUCUACAGGAGGAAAUGUCAAUCCUCUAUUCAUUGGAGUGACGCGGGUGAGAGGAUCGCCCUUGGACCGGAUGUGCUGCGAGAGGCAGAGGAAAAAGUUCGCCUUGCUCGCCAAAGGCUAUUGACGACGCAGUCGCAGCAGCAGAGCUAUGCUAAUGUGCGCCGACGAAGUCUAGAGUUCGCAGUUGGAGAUCGCGUCUUCUUGAAGGUGUCUUCGAUGUGGGGUGUGAAGCGAUUCGGUGUUAGAGGAAAGGUUAGUCCUCGAUACAUUGGCCCCUAUGAGAUAUUGGAGAGAGUUGGUGUGGUGGCAUAUAAAUUAGUUUUACCGCCGAAGUUUGAAGGAAUCCAUAACGUGUUCCACGUCUCUAAUCUCUACAAGUAUAUGUAUAACUCUUCACACGUUCUUGAGUAUGAACCAGUGAAGUACAAGAGGAUAUGACGUAUGUAGAGUACCCAGUGCGCAUUUUGGCUCGCGAAGUGAGGGAGUUGCGGAAUCGCACAAUUCCUUACGUGAAAGUGCAAGGGAGCAACCAUGCCGAGCGUGAAGCCACUUGGGAAAUCGAGGAUGCGAUGCGGGAAUAUACCGAAUCUCCGAGUUACAAGGCUAACUUUGAUCGAAUUGAUCAAAGUGAGGCUUGAGCAUGAUGUGCGACGUCCCCGAGCUGUUUUGGAGGCGUGGGGAUAGUUAGAAGUGAGUUUCGGGGUUGAUGAAGUGUUUUCAAUGCAAACCGAGCGUGAAAACGAACCCUGGAGCAUUGCUGCUGUCAAAAGGGCCAAAGUGACACUAAGUAUCGGUACCAGAGCAAUGCAGUACCGGUACCCAGUCAGUGUGUGUUGGUUGCGUAGCUUUCCGGUUUGGAGGCUGUGUACUAGUACUGGAAGCUUUGCGUACCGAUACUCCAACCCGAGUAACGGUACCCAGCCUGAGAAGGAUUGAAUUGUAAUAGAGUAAAUUGGGAAAUGUAAAGGGUUUGAGUGCAAUUGUGGGGCUCCUAUAAAUACCCUAACCCUUACACCUAUUAUUUCCAUGCAUGAAAGUGAGCUUUGUUCUUACCUCCUCCUCAUCUCCUUCUUCUUCUCUCUCUAGAGAUUCAUCAUCAAGGUGGUACUUGAGAGAAAUUGAAGGUAGAAAUUAGUAGAUUUGGUGGAGAAGAAGCUCAAGGGCAAGGAGGAUUUCGUGAAGCAAGAACCCAAGGUAGGUUUCUUGCAUUUCUUGGUUAGGGUUUGAGUUAAAUAACCUAAAUUGUUAGGUUUUGUAGUCUCUAGGAUUUCUAGAGCUUGCUUAUGCAAUGAAAUCCUAGAAACUUAGACUAUGUUGGGUAUCUUAUAUGAACCCUGGAGUAAAAAUGGGGUUUUGUCAAAUAUAAGAUCUAACAUGGAUUUGAUCUUUUGUAGCCCUAAUUAAGGAGUAAAUCGACGCAUUGGGAGGCUCGGAUCGAAGUUUCAACGAGUCUACACCGAGUUAUUGAGAAAAAUCCUUAUUUUGGCUUCGUUUGUUGUGGGUCGAGAGGAGUGGUCGUCCAUAAAUCGCGGGAAGUGGUUUCUCGCACUCCGACAUCACUACAAGGUGGGUGGUGCUAUCCGAAGUCUUCGAAUGACCCGUUAUGUCUAGUCUCUUUCUUGAGCAUCUAUGUAUGUGUAUAGUGAAUUUUUACUAUUAAUUUUUAUAUUAUAAUAAAUUUUUUUAAUUCUAAUUUUUUAUUUCUUGAGCAUCUAUGUAUGUCUAUAAUAAAUUUUUUAAAUUCUAAUUUUUUAUUCAUAGGUUCUUUAAUUAUUUUAAACUAAAGUUAUUAAAUUAGAUAUUGAUUUUAAAAGAACUAAUCAUUGUUUAGAGUGUGCUCUUUAUAAGACGUAUGUAUACAUGUGGUGUAGGCAUAAUUUCUUGUGAAAGUGCCCACUUUUUAUGGAAAAAUUAUUGCCUCCAUUGGAUGUAUAUGUAGGGUUUUUUAGUGCAAUAGUUUUUUUCUAAAAUUUUAUUCUAAAAAUAAAUCUGUUAAAUUUUUAUUUAUAAAUAUGGUCCUAUGAAAGCAGUGAAUGGUUCACCGUUUUUAAAAGCGGUGAACCAUUCACCGCUUUCUUUCUUUUUCCCACUUCUUUCUAUAUUUCUACGAUGGUAAAAGCGGUGAAUGGUUCACCGCUUUUAUUAUUUUUCUACUCCUAAACAGGAAUUAUGAAUGCGGUGAAUCAUUCACCGCAUUUAAAGGUCUAUUUUUAUAAUUAUUAUUUUAAAAAAAUUAUUUUUACAAUUAUAAAAAUCGAUAGGAUUAUUUAUAAAAAAAAUUCGUAUAUGUACAUCGCAUAUACUUUAUCAUUAAAGUUUAUAAAAGAAAUCUUAAAAUUAAAAUUUAAUUUGUUAAAUAUGUCCAACAACAUUUGUAAGGCAUAUAUCUACAUAUAAAAAAUCAUAAAUUUUGAAUUUCGAUGUCUUAUAAAUUGAGUAAGGGCUCUUUCUCUACUAUUAAUUUUAUAACUGCUUAAUGCUUAGGAUAAGAUUUUUCAAAAUAGGUGAUCUUCUACUUUAUAGGUUCUUUAGAUUUUGUAUAUUACAUGCAUUAAAUUAAUAUUUUAGUUUAAAAAAUUAAUCAUCAAAUACAGUAUGUGGUGUAUGGAACAAAUGCAUACAUCCGAUGCAAGGAAUAAGUUUUUUUAGGACCAAGUGGAUGUUUGUACUUGGCACGGAAUCGUUCCACCAAAUCCACCCAUCCACCCUUCUGCGUUGUGUGUAUAGUUCUAGUCAGCGCACUACGAUUAAGUUGAAGAAAAUAUAGAAAUAUUAAGUUAUAUAUAUUUUUUUAAUUUUAAAUAAAUAUUUUUAGAGUAUCAUAAUACUAUUUAUUAAUAUUUAGCUGUUAUAUUAAUUUUUUAUUGAUUGCAACCAACAACCAAAAUUUAAUUUUAAAUAUAUAUUUAAAUUUUAAUCUUAUUUAAUUUUAAAAUUUUACUUCAUCUUAAAUUCUUAGUUGAAAUUUAAUGAUACUCUAAAACUUUAAUUUGUCUUUAAAUAAGGUUUAUUUAUUUUCAAUUUUGUUAUAAUGUAAAUAUUUUUCAUAUGUGUUUCACAAUAUAUAAUUGUUUUUAAUGUGUACCCAAAAUUUAGAACCAAAAUUUAGAAUUUAAAUUAAGUCUAAAAUUAAACAAUAUAGGUACACAAUAUUUUUUUAUGUACUUCAUUAUAUAAAAAAAAAAUUUUAAUAUGUACCCAAUGUCACACCCCGGAUUACACGUUCCCCGGGCACACCGACAAAUCCGCCGUACACAAUUCUGUAUACGAAGCGUAGCUGUACCUGUAAAACAUACAAUACUAUAACCAGUAGUAUAGAGCUGCUAGGAAACAAAACAUAAUCAGUAGAAAAAAACAGUUCACUAUACAUACAACGUCCAGUAUACAAAAACUCGCCCAGCGAGAUACAGUAAAAGUAUGUAUAUGAACUCAAAAACUAUACUACCUGCAGCGGGUAAUCCUCUAGCUCGGCGACUCGUCGGGUAGGGCUCUAGCUCCCAACGCCCUUGUCACGAUCUGCCUCAGAAGAUGCAGCAGCCGGAACUGAAGGCUCUGCAAAAGAAGAGUAACAACUGGGCGUGAGAACUACUGUAAACACAAGUAGUCCUCAGUGGGUACCGCACAAAACAACAUCGGUCCACCCACUAAGUCUACAGAAGGAAGCAAGGAUAGUAGGAAAAGCUGAAAGACAUCUACAGUUAAAUACCACUACAAUAUCAUGCUUUACAUUAACCAACUAUAGUAAAAGUAAAUCCUGACCCAAUCACACUAGGGACUGUAAGCAUACACGUCCUUGGGACUGUGAACACAUCCGUCCCGUCCGGUUGUGACUAUACAGCUACCUCCACACUAAGCAGUCAGUGGAGAGCGAGUCCAACCUGCACGAACGACACCAACGCAAAAGUAUAGCGCCCGUCUCCGGAUUGGCACUCGUAGGAGUUACCCAACCGAGUAUGCAAGCGUAUCUCUGUCGAGCUCAAUCGGGCUCUCAAAGGCUAAAGUCAAGCACAUAGGGUCCAACUGGUCUAACCACCAACAAGUCACGUGCUCUCGGCAUAAUCUGAUGCCAAAACAGCAAUCUGAGUCCACCGUCAACCCCGACGUCACCCAAUAGUCUGGAACAGUCUAAACGCUACUGUAAAAAAAAUAUACUCGGUAUUCGAGCACGAGCGUAACAAAAAUCUAAACUACCUGGGGUAUCCACCACGCUGAUACUGUGGCGAUACAAAAUAACAACGGCUCCUAGAGCUAAAUCAAGUACUUAAAGCAUAUGACAGGUUGUAUUCGCGGGUUUCCUUCUAAGUCAAAUCCAAGUCCAACAUGUGCAAGUAUAAAUAUAAUCCAAGGCUAAACUCCAAUUCAGAUUUUAUAAAUGCAUACGUUAAAUCCAUGAAUCGAGCAAAUUCAAAAUGCAAAACAACACGACUAACACAUGCCGACUAUAUAUAUAUGUACUCAAAAGGUAAACUGACGAUUAACCCACCUCGAACGCUAAUCCAAUAACGGCGAGAAGUCGAUAGGAGAAGAAAUCCCGUGCUCGCCCGGCCUCCAACGGCGCUACCACAACGCACGUAGGCUCAAACGGCUCGCCGGCGCGAAGUCGACGUCAAUCCGAACCCCAACCGAAGUCUCCACCCUACUCACGUUCAAAGUCUAGAGAGAUGAAUACGAGAUAAUUAAUUAUCUCUCUACAGGUGGUAACUAUAUAUAUUGGUUGAGUUGGUGGGGUGGAUAACCACCAACAAAAAUUACAGUAAUAACCCCCACCAACUCAACCAAGGGUAUUACAUCCUCCCCCACUACAAAAAGUUUCGUCCUCGAAACUUAAAACAUACCUCAACUCUGGGCAUCAAAUAGGUAGGGAUAGGACUCCCUCAUUAUCGUCUCGGGCUUCCAAGUCGCCUCUCACUCCUCGUGAUUACUCCACUGCACCUUUACAUAAGGAAUGACCCGGUUGCGCUGUUCCUUCGUCUCACGAGCAAGAAUCCGCACCAGUCAUUCCUCAUAUCUCAAGUCCUCGCCAAGCUCGAGCGGAGUGAAGUCGAUCACGUGCGAGGGAUCAAACACUUACCUCCUCAAAGCCGAGACGUGGAAAACAUCAUGAAUACCGGCCAGUCGUGGUGGUAAGGCAAACCUGUAGGCAACUAGUCCAACUCGCUCCAAUACCUCAAAAGGGCCUACACGACUGGCACGCCCCGUGCCCCGCCUAUUUGGUCGGGUUCGGGCACGCCGACAGCGCUGAACGGAUAGGGUUUCCCCUGUACUGCGGACAGAGUCUCCCCUGUACGUUUUAGGCGUCGCAAUCAAUACAAUGUACAAAGUUCCAGCCAGGAACUCAUUUCAAUCGAGAUUGUAUAAGGAAAUAUCAAAAACAUAAAACUACUUGCUAUUACAAGCAUUCACAUUCAUACAUUUUAACUCUCAAUUCGAUUUGCCUUCAACCAAAUGCAAUCUAAGUUAUUACAUCAUUUAUUUACAAACUUGUUACAAUUUUAUUUCAUUGUCUUCUAGUCCCCUAAGCUAGACUACCUCAGGGUACUGCUACCUCAGGUCUCGAUGGUAGGGUGCUAUCUAUGGAGCUACGCCCUUUCCUCGUUCCGCCGCGCCGCUCACGUGCGAACCUGUAACACCCCAAAGCAACGUGGGGUGAGAACCAACUUCAUAGUUCCCAGUGGAUACGGCCACCCAAGGAAAAUGCUCGACCAACAGGUCCAAAGGAGGCAAACAGCAAGUUAGUUUAAUAAACAGAUAUAUAUAACAUCUAAAUUAUGCAACUAACAAUACCAUACUUUGCCUCACGAAUGCAAUAAUGCCAUGCUACAUGCGAGUCAUACAAUGAUGCAACAUCAUAAGUAGAUUUACCAAUUCUGCUUCUAUCUUGCUAUCUAGCUCAUAUCCAACUAGCUUCUAAGGUUUCUACUACCUUAGAUUCACAAUUCGAGUUCAACUUGCUUAUAAGGUCUCUAUUACCUUAUCUCUUGCCUCUAUCACUAGCUUAUAAGGUUUCUAUUACCUCAACCAAGUUAUCCACUCGGCCUCGAGUCAAUCAUCCGCGGACUACAGCGUACUGGCUGCUCAACAGCCUACCGCCCUCCGUGACUUAGCCCCAUAGCGGUGAAAUCAUCGCACACGCUGAACAGACUCAAGUCACCCGGCGGCCUGAUCCACAAGUGGCUUAACCAUCUGGCGGCGAAAUCGUCGCACACGCCCAACAAUGGUUCAAGCCUCCGGGUGGCGAACUCUGCACACACACCCAAUCCUCCUUGGUAUCAAUCUCGGCGGCAAAAUCGUCGCACACGCCCUAGCCUUGAUACUGAGGUCAUCACAAGUUCUGGGAUUCCGGAAUCCACUUUCACGUCUCAAGGGUCCAUAUCCAACCCUAUGCUGUCGACCUAUCUAGGUUCGACCCAAAACAUCCUAGUGGCUGCUACUACUAUGCUCAACAACCUAGGUUCAAUGUCACUCUAGGUUUACUACAUAUCCUAACCUAGGUUCCAACACUCUAGAUUCUAUAUCAUUCAUGUCCGACCUAUGUUUAUUAACACUGGGUUCAAGGUUAUUCCUGUUCAACCUAUGUUCACGACACUAGGUUGGAUGCCACUCACCUAGAUCCACUUAACUCUAGGUUCAUUCACAACCUAUAUUCUUUAGCACUAGGUUAGAUGCCACUCGAUCUACCUGACAUCCUAUUUGUCCACAUCGAGUUUCAUAGCCUUGCCUGUUCACAGUGCUAACAUGCAUCUCAUCCAACAUAACAACUAUAUGUUAAUAUGCAUGCUCUCUAUCAUGAUCUCAUGAUGCUAAUAUGCACCUAGCAUAUAAUCCACAAUGCAAAUAUUCUACGAGAGGUUACCAUGCAUUUCACUUUGUUUCUCUACAUUAUGUCCCAAUGCAUUUAUCAUCUUAGCAUAUUCUAUUUACAUGCUUUAACACAUUCACGAUGCCAUUAUGUAUUUUAUCCAAUAUGAUCUCAUAAUGCUAAAUGCACCUUGCAUUUAUCCCACUAUGCAUAUAUACUAACAUACAAUCAUGCAUUUCAUUAAGCAUUUCUAAUCUAUGUCGUUAUGCAUUAUCCUCUAGCAUGUAUUUUCAAUGCAUCUAUAUGCAAGUAUCACUAGCAUAACUCUCACAAUACCAACAUGCUUAUACAUAUGCGUCAACAAGAACUCAUAGUCCACUUUGACAUGCAGGCGACCUAGUCGCUUCGGUAAGCACAGCCCACCUGUUAUCGCAUUCCGAUUGCUUGUAGUCACUUGCAAUCGGCCGCCCGCGGCACCCGCUAUCUGACUCGGCCCGAACUCGCAAUUGCGCACCAACUGUGCGCCGCUUCGUAGCCCUGAAAAUUAUAAGUCUUCGGUUAUGUGCUACAAUGCUCGGGAUCUAAUUUCAUAAUUUUCGAACGUCGCCUCGGCCCUCAAGGCGAAAACGAAGCUCCGAACGUCGGUUUUUCCUAUUACUUCGCGUAGGCUCAACGAACCGCCGAACCGACUUCGCCAACGCGUUCGUGUACCUAGCAAUUAGGUUUCUAUAGGGUUAAUUUAGAUCAAACCCCUACAUUAACAAAACCCCCUUUCUAGCCCUAGCAUGCCAUAAUCUCUAAUUAGCCCAAAAUCCCAUAGAGAAAACAUGCUAGAAACACUUUAGAGUCCAUUAGAACACUAAGCAUAAAGGAUUUAACCAAAUCCCAAAUACUUACUAAAUUGCGAACGCUGAGACGGAAGCAUGCCGCUCAAACGGGCGCACGAGGGCUCGAGUCGUCGCCUCCCACGCGUUCACGAACUCCUUCUCCUCCAAGAUCCAAACUUUUAGAGAGAGAUAUAGAGGGAGGAGAGAGAUAUCUAGAGAGAGGAGAAGGUCUCUCUCUCUACAUUGUGUGUGGGUGUGUGUGUGUGUGUUUGCUGUGAAGAAUGAGAAGAAGAGGUUGAGACCUCUUUAUAAAGCAAUCCCCCCACAAUUACAAUCAGCCCCCUGCUAUUUUUGGGCAAUUUUCGGGCUGAGGGUCCGGACCUUGAAGCUAGGGUCCGGAUCCUGUAAGUCUAGAAAUUCAACCUUUUCCAGACUUAGCCAAAAUUUCAGCCUUUUCGUCAAUUUUGGUCCAUUUUCGCUCGUUUUUGCUCCAUGAGUCUCCGAUUUGUUUCAAAUCGAACCGAGACUCUCAAAACAUGUUUUCGAGCAUGUUUUCAUCGUCUUUUCAUCCACACUAAUGUUGGAUUUAGUUCAUGAUCCAACAUAGCCUUUCGGAUCCUGUUUUCGCGCUUACGCGCUCUGAAAAUGCCCGAAUGCUUCCGAACUUCACCGGAACCUCACCGAAACCAUUCAAAUGGCUUUCCAACCAAAUGUACACCGUAAUUUCAUAAUUUUAGAAGUCCGGUACCUUACAGUAGGAAAGCUGGAAGACAUCUACAGUUAAAUACCACUACAAUAUCAUGCUUUACACUAACCAACUGUAGUAAAAAUCAAUCCUGACCCAAUCUCACUAGGGACUAUAAGCAUACCUGUCCCUGGGACUGUGAACACACCCGUUCCGCCCAAUUGCGACUAUACAGCUACCUCCACACUAAGCAGUCAGUGGAGAGCGAGUCCAACCUGCACGAACGACACCAACAAAAAGGCACAGUGCCCGUCUCCGGAGUGGCACUUAUGGGAGCUACCCAACCGAGUAUACAAGCGUAUCUCUAUCGAGCUCAAUCAGGCUCUCACAGGCUAAAGUCAAGUACAUAGGGUCCAACUGGUCUAAUCACCAACAAGUCGCGUGCCCUCAGCACAAUCUGAUACCAAAACAGCAAUCUGGGUCCACCGUCAACCUCGACGACACCCAACAGUUUGGAACAGUCUGAACGCUACUAUAAAAAAUUAUGCUCGGCAUUCCAGCACAAGCGUAAGAGAAAUCUAAACUAUCUGGGGUAUCCACCAUGCUGAUACUGCGGCGAUACAAAAUAACAACGGCUCCUAAAGCUAAAUCAGGUAGUUAAAGCAUAUGACAGGUUGUAUUCGCAGAUUUCCUCCUAAGUCAAAUCCAAUUCCAACAUGUGCAAGUAUAAAUAUAAUCCAAGGCUAAGCUCCAAUUCAGAUUUUAUAAAUGCAUACGUUAAAUCCAUGAAUCGAGCAAAUUCAAAAUGCAAAACAACACGACUAACACAUGCCGACUAUAUAUAUAUAUAUAUAUAUAUAUACUGACGAUUAACCCACCUCGAACGCUAAUCCAAUAACGGCGAGAAGUCGAUAGGAGAAGAAAUCCCGUGCUCGCCCGGCCUCCAACGGCGCUACCACAACGCACGUAGGCUCAAACAGCUCGCCGGCGCGAAGUCGACGUCGAUCUGAACCCCAACCGAAGUCUCCACCCUACUCACGUUCAAAGUCUAGAGAGAUGAAUACGAGAUAAUUAAUUAUCUCUCUACAGGUGGUAACUAUAUAUAUUGGUUGAGUUGGUGGGGUGGAUAACCACCAACAAAAAUUACAGUAAUAACCCCCACCAACUCAACCAAGGGUAUUACAUCCUCCCCCACUACAAAAAGUUUCGUCCUCGAAACUUAAAACAUACCUCAACUCUGGGCAUCAAAUAGGUAGGGAUAGGACUCCCUCAUUAUCGUCUCGGGCUUCCAAGUCGCCUCUCACUCCUCGUGAUUACUCCACUGCACCUUUACAUAAGGAAUGACCCGGUUGCGCUGUUCCUUCGUCUCACGAGCAAGAAUCCGCACCAGUCAUUCCUCAUAUCUCAAGUCCUCGCCAAGCUCGAGCGGAGUGAAGUCGAUCACGUGCGAGGGAUCAAACACUUACCUCCUCAAAGCCGAGACGUGGAAAACAUCAUGAAUACCGGCCAGUUGUGGUGGUAAGGAAAACCUGUAGGCAACUAGUCCAACUCGCUCCAAUACCUCAAAAGGGCCUACACGACUGGCACGCCCCGUGCCCCGCCUAUUUGGUCGGGUUCGGGCACGCCGACAGCGCUGAACGGAUAGGGUUUCCCCUGUACUGCGGACAGAGUCUCCCCUGUACAUUUUAGGCGUCGCAAUCAAUACAAUGUACAAAGUUCCAGCCAGGAACUCAUUUCAAUCAAGAUUGUAUAAGGAAAUAUCAAAAACAUAAAACUACUUGCUAUUACAAGCAUUCACAUUCAUACAUUUUAACUCUCAAUUCGAUUUGCCUUCAACCAAAUGCAAUCUAAGUUAUUACAUCAUUUAUUUACAAACUUGUUACAAUUUUAUUUCAUUGUCUUCUAGUCCCCUAAGCUAGACUACCUCAGGGUACUGCUACCUCAGGUCUCGAUGGUAGGGUGCUAUCUAUGGAGCUACGCCCUUUCCUCGUUCCGCCGCGCCGCUCACGUGCGAACCUGUAACACCCCAAAGCAACGUGGGGUGAGAACCAACUUCAUAGUUCCCAGUGGAUACGGCCACCCAAGGAAAAUGCUCGACCAACAGGUCCAAAGGAGGCAAACAGCAAGUUAGUUUAAUAAACAGAUAUAUAUAACAUCUAAAUUAUGCAACUAACAAUACCAUACUUUGCCUCACGAAUGCAAUAAUGCCAUGCUACAUGCGAGUCAUACAAUGAUGCAACAUCAUAAGUAGAUUUACCAAUUCUGCUUCUAUCUUGCUAUCUAGCUCAUAUCCAACUAGCUUCUAAGGUUUCUACUACCUUAGAUUCACAAUUCGAGUUCAACUUGCUUAUAAGGUCUCUAUUACCUUAUCUCUUGCCUCUAUCACUAGCUUAUAAGGUUUCUAUUACCUCAACCAAGUUAUCCACUCGGCCUCGAGUCAAUCAUCCGCGGACUACAGCGUACUGGCUGCUCAACAGCCUACCGCCCUCCGUGACUUAGCCCCAUAGCGGUGAAAUCAUCGCACACGCUGAACAGACUCAAGUCACCCGGCGGCCUGAUCCACAAGUGGCUUAACCAUCUGGCGGCGAAAUCGUCGCACACGCCCAACAAUGGUUCAAGCCUCCGGGUGGCGAACUCUGCACACACACCCAAUCCUCCUUGGUAUCAAUCUCGGCGGCAAAAUCGUCGCACACGCCCUAGCCUUGAUACUGAGGUCAUCACAAGUUCUGGGAUUCCGGAAUCCACUUUCACGUCUCAAGGGUCCAUAUCCAACCCUAUGCUGUCGACCUAUCUAGGUUCGACCCAAAACAUCCUAGUGGCUGCUACUACUAUGCUCAACAACCUAGGUUCAAUGUCACUCUAGGUUUACUACAUAUCCUAACCUAGGUUCCAACACUCUAGAUUCUAUAUCAUUCAUGUNCACACACUAAGAAGGUAAACCGACGAUUAACCCACCUCGAACGCUAAUCCAACAACGGCGAGAUGUCGAUAGGAGAAGAAAUCCCGUGCUCGCCUGGCCUCCAACAGCGCUACCACAACGCACGUAGGCUCAAACAGCUCGCCGGCGCGAAGUCGACGUCGAUCUGAACCCCAACCGAAGUCUCCACCCUACUCACGUUCAAAGUCUAGAGAGAUGAAUACGAGAUAAUUAAUUAUCUCUCUACAGGUGGAUAACUAUAUAUAUUGGUUGAGUUGGUGGGAUGGAUAACCACCAACAAAAAUUACAGUAAUACCCCCCACCAACUCAACUAAGGGUAUUACACCCAAAAUUUAAAAAUUUGAAAUAAAUAUUACCGGAUAAUAUUGAGUCAAUCUAAAAAUAUUGAAUUAAAAAGAAAGAUAUGAAAUAAUAUAGAAUAUUUAAUAAAGAAUAAGGAAAGGAAAGGUUAUCACUAAGAAAAAGAGGAAUUUAAAACUUGUUUGGUUACAUUAUUUGUUUUACAGAAAAUGCUUCUUUUACACCCAAAAAGGGUAUACAUCUUACACCCGCAAUCCUAGGGCAUGUUUCCGAAUCCGUUUGUGGGUGUUUGGUACGCGUGAGUUCCAUUCCGAUUCUGAUUUUCGAGUGGAAUGGGAAUCCCUCAAUCACCUCUUUUUUCAAUCCGACCUAGGAUGCCGGAUUAGAAGUUGAAUCCGGACGGAAUGGAUAUUUAUUCGGAUUAAAUUUAUUUUUUCAACUUUUUUAAUUAAAAUAUGAGUUUAAAUUUAGAAAUUAAAUAUAUAAUUUUAAAUUUUAAUUUGAACUUGAAUUAAAAAUUAAAAUUUAAUCAAAUAUUUCGAAUCUAACUUAUGAAUUUGAAUUUUAACUUAAAAUUUAAGUUAUAUAAAGUUUUAUUCAAAUUUUAUUUAAAACUUAAAUUAAAUUUAUGGAUUCAAAUUAAAAUUUAAAUUGUAAUUUUAAGUUUGAAUUUGAAUAAAAUGAAAUUUAGUUUUAUAUUUUGAAUUAUCCACUCAAAUUCAAAGUUUAAUUUUAAAAAAAAUAGAUUUAAAAUUUUGACAUUAUUUCAAAAUUUUGAUAUAAAUUUUUGGGGCAAUUGCCUAUAUACCCCUGAAAAGUUUUCAAUUUUCUUAUUUACCCCUCUUAGAAAGCUAUUAAGUUCCAUCAGUUACCUGUCGUUAUCUCUGAAAAAUUACCAUUUUGCCCAUUCCAAUAUACCCUUGUACGGUAACUAACUUAUUUUAUAUACCCUUCAUAUAGCAAAUAUUUUUCUUAUUUGUCCUUCAAAUAUCAAUUAAUUAAUUAAGCAUGUCGGGAGCGAGCAGAUGAACGGAUGAGAUCGAUCACAGCUAAACCAACCUUAGUGGCUAGAGGCAUAGUUAGUUAAUUCGGAUUCGGCAAAAAUUCGGUACAUAUAUAAUUCGAAUAAAAUUCGUCUUUUAAUUUUUAAAUUUGAUGAAAAAUACAGCUAAAAAAGGGAUUCGACAAUUAUUCAGAUACGUGAUUUAUACGGGUAUUAUACGUUCACCAAUUAAAAAUUUGGGAUUAAAAAUUCGGCUAUAUAAUAAAUAUAUAAUAAUUAAUAUACUAUAUAUAUUAUUAUUAUAAAUUUUAUAUAUAGAUUAAAUAUAUUUAAAAUUAUAAUAAACAUAUAUUAAUAAUGGCCUCGUGGACCGCGCACACACGUGGACCUCCCUCUCAUCCGGUCUGCGAGGCCAAAUUGGCCUCGUGGACCGCGUACACCUGUAGCUCCCCUCCGCGUGCGACACCUGUCACGCCCGGGACCCAGCGGAAGCCCGCCCGGCGCGUGCCCAGACCCGCCAUACGUCUAAAACAUAUAAGGCGUCUAGAAACAACAAUAAANUAUAUAUAUAAUGAGAGGGAGGUCCACUGUGGACCUCCCUCUCAUCCGGUCCAUGAGGCCAAACUCGCCUCGUGGACCGUGCACACCCACUGCUCCGCCCUGCCGCACGAGGACAAGGACGAAGGCGACCACUCGACAACGAGCACGAUGGCGCCGCCCUGCCGCACGGUGCGCUCCAUCUCGACGGUAAACCUCGUGGGGAAGAGCGCAUCGGCGAGGCCAGGGGUAAAGGCGAGGUCGAAGAUGCCGUCGAACAAGGGGAGAUUGUGGGGGUAGGCGCGGCUGACGAGUGAGAGGAAAUCGAGAAGGUCGACGCCGGUGACGUCGGCAACGCCGGAAUCGCGGAGGGCGGCGACCGACUGGCCGGCGCCGGCGGAGACACAGAGGACGCAGGAGGAGUUGGAGAGAAGGCGGAGGGUGCGGAGGGGGGAGAACACAGCGGCGGAGAGGGAGGCGGCGUGGCGAGAUUGUCGGUGCAGCCCUCUUGCUCUCAGCGCCGGCCAUGGUGGCGGAGGAGGACGACGACGGGACGGAUGAAUUUGGCCGGAGAGAAAGUGAGAAUAAGUUAAGGAAAUAGUUUAAUAAGGUACGGGCAAAAUAGGUAUUUUAAUUUGGUUUUAACUCUGGUAUACAUUUAACCCAUGUUUAACCCGAGUUAGUUUAACAGGGACUAACUGCAGGGGUAUUUUGGAAUAACGGUGGAACAUAUGAUGGGCAUUUUAGAAAGAAAAAAAAAAGUAGGGGUAUAUCGGAUAUUUCCAGACGCAUGAGGGGUAUAUAAACAAUUAUCCCUAAAUUUUUAAUAUUUAAAUUUUACUUUGCAUUUUAAAUUAAUAUAUUAUAAAGAUAAAGUUAGUAUAUUAAUUUGAUUACGUUUUUUAUAUCUACCUGAACCAAAUACGGACAAUGAGAAUGAUUUGUUACGAUUUCGAUUCAGGUGAUGAACCAAACAGAAUUAGGUAAUGAGUUAUUCUGAUUUUGAUUCCAGCUUAUUUCGAUUCCGAUUCUGAUUCCGAUUCUGACUUCGAACCAAACACGCCCCUAGAGUUGAUAAAAAAUCGAAUUGGUUUUUGCGCAUCCCACUUUAGGGUGUAUUUAUAGCAUUGCUCUUAUUUUACAUGAGACAAAAAAGAAACCAUUUUUUUUUUCUGCCAAAAUAUGAGUCCAUCGAUAGAUCCAAAUUCAAAAUACGUGUUUUUAUAUGUAGUAUGAUAAAUAUAUAUAGAAUUUGGUUGGGAUAUUUCUAAUAGCGCCAACCCCUUUGAUCAAUUCCACCUCUUAAAUCAUUCUAUUCUACCAACACCUGCUAAAUCCUAGGGACACCUAUAUUUAUAAAAUUUUUAUUAUCUAGAUUUUAGGUUAGCCCAACCAUAAAGAAACUUAUAUUUUAUGAAUUUUAGUUAUUAGAUUAAGAUUCUACUUUUAUAAUUUUCUUUCAACUUUUAAUGUUAUAUUAUGACUAACAAUUUAACUUAUUGCUCAUGAACCAACUCGUAUUCGGCUCGUUUUUUGAAUG
rnacentral:lncRNA from 1 species